GAGCGGAUGACGGGAGCUUGCUCCUUGAUUCAGCGGCGGACGGGUGAGUAAUGCCUAGGAAUCUGCCCGGUAGUGGGGGACAACGUUUCGAAAGGAACGCUAAUACCGCAUACGUCCUACGGGAGAAAGCAGGGGACCUUCGGGCCUUGCGCUAUCAGAUGAGCCUAGGUCGGAUUAGCUAGUUGGUGGGGUAAUGGCUCACCAAGGCGACGAUCCGUAACUGGUCUGAGAGGAUGAUCAGUCACACUGGAACUGAGACACGGUCCAGACUCCUACGGGAGGCAGCAGUGGGGAAUAUUGGACAAUGGGCGAAAGCCUGAUCCAGCCAUGCCGCGUGUGUGAAGAAGGUCUUCGGAUUGUAAAGCACUUUAAGUUGGGAGGAAGGGCAGUAAGUUAAUACCUUGCUGUUUUGACGUUACCGACAGAAUAAGCACCGGCUAACUCUGUG
rnacentral:rRNA from 1 species